CCUAUGGGGGGCAGCAGGCGCGAAAACUUUACAAUGCUGGCAACAGCGAUAAGGGAACCUCGAGUGCCAGGUUACAAAUCUGGCUGUCGAGAUGCCUAAAAAGCAUUUCAUAGCAAGGGCCGGGCAAGACCGGUGCCAGCCGCCGCGGUAACACCGGCGGCUCGAGUGGUAACCGUUAUUAUUGGGUCUAAAGGGUCUGUAGCCGGCCGGAUAAGUCUCUUGAGAAAUCUGGCAGCUUAACUGUCAGGCUUUCAGGAGAUACUGUCUGGCUCGAGGCCGGGAGAGGUGAGAGGUACUUCAGGGGUAGGGGUGAAAUCUUGUAAUCCUUGAAGGACCACCAGUGGCGAAGGCGUCUCACCAGAACGGACCUGACGGCAAGGGACGAAAGCUAGGGGCACGAACCGGAUUAGAUACCCCCGUAGUCC
rnacentral:rRNA from 1 species